rnacentral:rRNA from 1 species
AGUGGGGAAUAUUGGACAAUGGGGGCAACCCUGAUCCAGCAAUGCCGCGUGAGUGAUGAAGGCCUUCGGGUUGUAAAGCUCUUUCGGCGGGGAAGAUGAUGACGGUACCCGCAGAAGAAGCCCCGGCUAACUUCGUGCCAGCAGCCGCGGUAAUACGAAGGGGGCUAGCGUUGUUCGGAAUUACUGGGCGUAAAGGGCGCGUAGGCUGUGCUGUAAGUCAGGCGUGAAAUCCCCGGGCUCAACCUGGGAAUUGCGCAUGAUACUGCGGCGCUGGAAUGCAGGAGAGGAUGGCGGAAUUCCCAGUGUAGAGGUGAAAUUCGUAGAUAUUGGGAAGAACACCGGUGGCGAAGGCGGCCAUCUGGCCUGCAAUUGACGCUGAGGCGCGAAAGCGUGGGGAGCAAACAGGAUUAGAUACCCUGGUAGUCCACGCCGUAAACGAUGAGUGCUAGACGUCGGGGGGCUUGCCCUUCGGUGUCGCCGCUAACGCAUUAAGCACUCCGCCUGGGGAGUACGGUCGCAAGAUUAAAACUCAAAGGAAUUGACGGGGGCC